AAGUCGUAACAAGGUUUUCGUAGGUGAACCUGCGGAAGGAUCAUUAACACGUAUCCAAACGUUAGCAAUCUCUGAUAAAUCAUAGCCCGGAAAGUUGUAGUGAUUGAGAGACCUCUGGCUACGUGCGAACAUUGGAACAGUUACAAUCGAGCGGUAGUUCUAUAGGCAAUGUUUCCCCAAGCAGUCAGUGUCGGAAAGUGUCAUUGAUUGUGCAAGGAUAGCGCUUCUACGAUUCCUGUAGACCGUACACUCGGGCAGGAGCUUUGCCAAAGGGUCCCCAUGCCCCCUAAUAACCCCACAGUUUAAUGUGAAGCUCAAUGUAAUACAUUGGGUAAAAAAACCGAACAACUGUUAACAAUGGAUAUCUUGGUUCUC
rnacentral:misc_RNA from 1 species